rnacentral:rRNA from 1 species
GACGAACGCUGGCGGCGUGCUUAACACAUGCAAGUCGAACGGAAAGGCCCCUUUGGGGGUACUCGAGUGGCGAACGGGUGAGUAACACGUGAGUAACCUGCCCUUGACUUCGGGAUAACUUCAGGAAACUGGGGCUAAUACCGGAUAGGAAUCCUUGCUGCAUGGUGGGGGUUGGAAAGCUUCGGCGGUUUGGGAUGGACUCGCGGCUUAUCAGCUUGUUGGUGGGGUAGUGGCUUACCAAGGCUUUGACGGGUAGCCGGCCUGAGAGGGCGACCGGCCACAUUGGGACUGAGAUACGGCCCAGACUCCUACGGGAGGCAGCAGGGGGGAAUAUUGCACAAUGGGCGGAAGCCUGAUGCAGCAACGCCGCGGGCGGGAUGACGGCCUUCGGGUUGUAAACCGCUUUCAGCAGGGGCGAAGCUUGUGGUGACGGUACCUGCAGAAGAAGCACCGGCUAACUACGUG